rnacentral:rRNA from 1 species
GAAGAGUUUGAUCAUGGCUCAGAUUGAACGCUGGCGGCAGGCCUAACACAUGCAAGUCGAACGGUAACAGGAAGCAGCUUGCUGCUUUGCUGACGAGUGGCGGACGGGUGAGUAAUGUCUGGGAAACUGCCUGAUGGAGGGGGAUAACUACUGGAAACGGUGGCUAAUACCGCAUAACGUCGCAAGACCAAAGAGGGGGACCUUCGGGCCUCUUGCCAUCAGAUGUGCCCAGAUGGGAUUAGCUUGUUGGUGAGGUAACGGCUCACCAAGGCGACGAUCCCUAGCUGGUCUGAGAGGAUGACCAGCCACACUGGAACUGAGACACGGUCCAGACUCCUACGGGAGGCAGCAGUGGGGAAUAUUGCACAAUGGGCGCAAGCCUGAUGCAGCCAUGCCGCGUGUAUGAAGAAGGCCUUCGGGUUGUAAAGUACUUUCAGCGGGGAGGAAGGUGUUGUGGUUAAUAACCGCAGCAAUUGACGUUACCCGCAGAAGAAGCACCGGCUAACUCCGUGCCAGCAGCCGCGGUAAUACGGAGGGUGCAAGCGUUAAUCGGAAUUACUGGGCGUAAAGCGCACGCAGGCGGUCUGUCAAGUCGGAUGUGAAAUCCCCGGGCUCAACCUGGGAACUGCAUUCGAAACUGGCAGGCUUGAGUCUUGUAGAGGGGGGUAGAAUUCCAGGUGUAGCGGUGAAAUGCGUAGAGAUCUGGAGGAAUACCGGUGGCGAAGGCGGCCCCCUGGACAAAGACUGACGCUCAGGUGCGAAAGCGUGGGGAGCAAACAGGAUUAGAUACCCUGGUAGUCCACGCCGUAAACGAUGUCUACUUGGAGGUUGUGCCCUUGAGGCGUGGCUUCCGGAGCUAACGCGUUAAGUAGACCGCCUGGGGAGUACGGCCGCAAGGUUAAAACUCAAAUGAAUUGACGGGGGCCCGCACAAGCGGUGGAGCAUGUGGUUUAAUUCGAUGCAACGCGAAGAACCUUACCUGGUCUUGACAUCCACGGAAGAAUUCAGAGAUGGAUUUGUGCCUUCGGGAACCGUGAGACAGGUGCUGCAUGGCUGUCGUCAGCUCGUGUUGUGAAAUGUUGGGUUAAGUCCCGCAACGAGCGCAACCCUUAUCCUUUGUUGCCAGCGGUCCGGCCGGGAACUCAAAGGAGACUGCCAGUGAUAAACUGG